rnacentral:rRNA from 1 species
UACAGAGGUCUCAAGCGUUGUUCGGAUUCAUUGGGCGUAAAGGGUGCGUAGGCGGUUCGUACAGUCAGACGUGAAAUUCCUGGGCUUAACCUGGGGGCUGCACACGAGACGUAUGGGCUUGAGUGCGGAAGAGGGUCGUGGAAUUCCCAGUGUAGAGGUGAAAUUCGUAGAUAUUGGGAAGAACACCGGUGGCGAAGGCGGCGACCUGGUCCGUGACUGACGCUGAGGCGCGAAAGCGUGGGGAGCGAACAGG